GACGAACGCUGGCGGCGUGCUUAACACAUGCAAGUCGAACGGAAAGGCCCUGCUCUUGUUGGGUGCUCGAGUGGCGAACGGGUGAGUAAAACGUGUGUAUCCCCCCCUUGUCUUUGGGAUAUCUUCAGGAAACUCGGGCUCAUAUAGGAUAGGAGCUCUUGCUGCGUGGUGGGGGUUGGAAAGUUUCGGCGGUUGGGGAUCGUCUCGAGGCUUCUCAGCUUGAUGGUGGGGUAGUGGCUUUCCAAGGCUUUGACGGGUAGCCGGCAUGGGAGGGGGACCGGCCACAUGAGGACUGAGAGACGGCGCAGACGCCUACGGGAGGCAGCAGUGGGGAAUAUUGCGCAAUGGGCGGGAGCCUGAUACAGCAACGCCGCGUGCGGGAUGACGGCCUUCGGGUUGUAAACCGCUUUCGCCUGAGACAAAGCGGGAGUGACGGUAAUGAGUAAAGAAGCACCGGCUAACUACGUG
rnacentral:rRNA from 1 species